GUAACUUAAAGUAACUAACAUAUCUGUACUGUUCAGCAAAUCUUGCAUUUAUGUGCCUGCGACCACGAAAAUGAGCCCACAGCAAGCCUCAUGGUAACUUCCGUAGUGGUCCCACUGCAAAUUCUUGAUUUUCUUGCUACGCAAAGAGCAAUUUUAAACAGUAUAAUUCAUGCACACUUUUGCUAAGCAUGGUGUGUCAUAACUCCUAAUAUGACUGAGCUUCUAUGACGACAUUAUUGAAUUUUAUGUGUUUGUAUUGAUGCGCAUUACUGAAAACUGGGGCGCGAUAACGUAACUCUAUUCCAAACAAAAACUGUUCCAAACUCCGGACGUCAAAAUGACGCGACAGUUUCUGCGUAUGGGGGCGGGAACCAGCGGCGUUUUUCAAUCUGUCCAAUCAGCAGCCUCCAUCGUUGCCGGAAGUAUGUAUUGCUUGUUUUUUAUUUGCAAAGGGACCGUAUAGCAAGUGACAUAAAGAUAUAAACGUCUGAUAAAAGAACAAUUGUGUGUCGCUGAUAGUAAAAGUGUUUUGUAAUCUUUUAACGCAAGAGAAGUUGAAGCGCGCUUGAAAGUAAACAUAAAUAUUUUAAUUUUUCGAGUCAUAGCCACACACGUGCCAAUUCCGCAUCCAAUCCAUUUUGCUACGCACACUUAAGAUGGCGGCUACGCGAAAACAGCUGAUCGGUUCUGUGGGCCGCUCUUGGUGUAUUUUUGUCCGUAACGCGAUUAGAUGAAAUCUCGCCGUACGAGGUACUUUCGCCCGAGAAGAAUUCUGGAAGCUGUGAACAUCAUGAAGACUGUGAAAGCGUAGUGCUCGGAUACGGAAGAAUCGAUGAAGGUUGGAAGGCAUCUCAACAGAUAGCUGCUCGCGGCGCAGGUUGGCGCCGAGAAGAGGUCAGCCCUCGACUAGCAGCGUGUUCGGAACGUAUAAGCUGACGGUUUUCAUGCAUUUGCAGGAAGACGGGAGGCGGAAAGUUGGGCGGCCUGGAGGGUCGAGUGCUCGCCGUGCUCGCCCAUACCGGCCCAGCUUCCGCCCCUGCGGAUUUUUUUGCUGGCGAUGCUGAGGAGGACACCUCCAGUGAGGAGUCCAGUGAUGGAGUGCCCCCUGCCCCACCAGCAGCUGCGCGCGUCUCAGUGGGCACGGAGCCGGGGACCAGUGGCACUGCACCUCGGCAGCAGCCCCGCAGGCCGCCACCCCGCCAACAGGUCCUUGAGGACGCAGCAUCUCGGGCGGCCGCAGACUAUGCCCGACAGAGCCGGCUAGCUGAGGCGGCAAACGCGGAGGCCGCAAGCUUCCACCAGUUGUUGCUGCAGCAACAUAGGCAGCUGGUGGAAGAACAGAGAGCGACGCGGCAAGUCCUGGAGCAGCUGGUGGCCGAGAUGCGUGGUUCGCGAGAGGCGACCACUCUCAUUGCGACCACGCUGCGCCAGCUGCUGGCUGCCCUCGCCCACCUGCGCGAGCCGCCUCAGCAAUAAGGGGCAGCUUUUUUUUUUUUUUUGCCAUAUCAUUCUUUAGUGCUUUGUAGGUACAAGUGUUGCCUAUCUAUGCUUGUUUUUUUUUUAUGCAGCACUAAAGGAUGAUAUGGCUGUUUUCCGUAAUUUCUGUCCCUAAUCAUAUUUUUUUUUGCAAGGUAAUUUCUGUUAUGUUUAUUUUCAUAUGUAGUGCAAGUUUGCCCAAGUGAGGCAUUAUAUAACUUAUAUGUAGAACUUUCGGGUUUCUGUUCGUUACCGUAUUUUUUUCCCCAAGUUCAUUUCAUGUGUAUUAUUCUUUGACCAAGUGAGACGGUAUAACUUAUAUGUACAUUCUUUGCCAUAUUUUUGCGUUUCUGUUCGUUACCGUAUUUUUUUCCCCAAGUUCAUUUAGUGUGUAUUAUUCUUUGUCCAAGUGAGACGGUAUAAGUUAUAUUUACAAUUUUUGUCAUAUUUUUGCGUUUCUGUUUUUUACCGUAUUUUUUUCCCCAAGUUCAUUUCAUGUGUAUUAUUCUUUGUCCAAGUGAGACGGUACAACUUAUAUGUACAUUUUUUGCCAUAAUUUCGUUAGGUGUUGUUCACUUUUGUUUUGCUGUUACUGAUAUGUUUCAAUGUGCGCCGUUCUUCCACGGAAGAUACACUGUGCAAUCACUUUUACGCCAACUACGACAUUGUCUCGCACACAUACAGGUGCGCUUAAUAACUACAAUACUGUGAUAACUGGAAAUCAAUUUUCAUGCCAUAUGUAUGUCAUGUUUGCAAUGUAUAACCAUUCGUGCCUACGCAAAGUAGCCGAAUUGGUAUUUUUAUCACCAAGUGUACACACCCGAGCAGCAGGAAACGAAAGAGCGCUUUAUUGCGAGGAGCAUGUGCGUUUAUACACAUGCAGGCCAGGCUUGCACAUGCGUAUCACAAUAUUCUUGAUGACGUAGCCACUGGUCACACCAAGCACCUGUUACCUGUGGUAGUCGCUGUGAUAUUUCAGGUGUCCUUACCUAUGAUAGCAAUACAAUCUAGUCCCCAUUGUAGUUGAGCACAGUUUGCGACAUACGUAACAGAGCCAUCGAUGUGGCCGCUAUUUUGACAUUCGCUGCCAGGCUGGUCUUGCAGCCGUUAUAUGAAAUACCGUUUUAGUGCCAAGCAUUUUCUCACUUGUCGUUCCUUAGAAGCAUGUCAUGGCUGCUUUAUAUUGUGAUCUUAUUACGGCACUAGUCAUUGAAAAGAAACUGUAUUGUGCUACAAACAUGCCAACUACAUAAUAGAGAAGAGAUCUUUCUUGCUGUUAAGUUGCUGGAUGAAGAAAAAUGGUUGUCUGCGAGUUCAAAAAAAUAUCGUUAUGCUCGUGUCAUAUUUAUGCAAUUUAACAUCUGCCAACGGCCCAGUGGUAGUGUACUGGGUCCCAUGUAGUGAACAUCACACGGCUAUUUUGACGCCAUGAAGCCAUGCUCUGUGUACUUGUCUGUCAUUUUCUUUGAUGAAAGACGGCAUUGAAGAUCGAUCACAUGGUUUUAUUUACAAUGCAGAUUUAAAUAAACGAUUUUACACAAUGCAA